rnacentral:rRNA from 1 species
GACGAACGCUGGCGGCGUGCUUAACACAUGCAAGUCGAACGGAAAGGCCCUGCUUUUGUGGGGUGCUCGAGUGGCGAACGGGUGAGUAACACGUGAGUAACCUGCCCUUGACUUUGGGAUAACUUCAGGAAACUGGGGCUAAUACCGGAUAGGAGCUCCUGCUGCAUGGUGGGGGUUGGAAAGUUUCGGCGGUUGUGGAUGGACUCGCGGCUUAUCAGCUUGUUGGUGGGGUAGUGGCUUACCAAGGCUUUGACGGGUAGCCGGCCUGAGAGGGUGACCGGCCACAUUGGGACUGAGAUACGGACCAGACUCCUACGGGAGGCAGCAGUGGGGAAUAUUGCACAAUGGGCGGAAGCCUGAUGCAGCAACGCCGGGUGCGGGAUGACGGCCUUCGGGUUGUAAACCGCUUUCGCCUGUGACGAAGCGUGAGUGACGGUAAUGGGUAAAGAAGCACCGGCUAACUACGUG